AUGUCUUCUAGCAAAAGCUUCAGAAGCAUCGAGGGCGUCAAGUUCAAGAAAGAUCACUUAUGCGGUGCCUGUGAGGCAGGAAAGAUGACGAGGGCCAAACAUCCCUCGAGGACAAUCAUGACCACUACUCGACCCUUCGAACUGCUUCACAUGGAUCUUUUCGGUCCCACUCAUUACGCAACUCUUACUACUACUGCUUGUCUCUAUGGCUUUGUCAUUGUUGAUGAUUAUUCUAGAUAUACUUGGGUGCACAUAAUCCUUUACAAGACUGAAGUGCAGGAUGUCUUCAGACGCUUCGCCAAUUGA
rnacentral:rRNA from 1 species